GACGAACCGUGCGAACGUUGUUCGGAAUUACUGGGCGUAAAGCGCGCGUAGGCGGCUUUGUAAGUUAGAGGUGAAAGCCCGGGGCUCAACCCCGGAAUUGCCUUUAAGACUGCAUCGCUUGAAUCCGGGAGAGGUGAGUGGAAUUCCGAGUGUAGAGGUGAAAUUCGUAGAUAUUCGGAAGAACACCAGUGGCGAAGGCGGCUCACUGGACCGGCAUUGACGCUGAGGUGCGAAAGCGUGGGGAGCAAACAGG
rnacentral:rRNA from 1 species